GGGUGCGACCAUACCAGCACUAACGCACCGGAUCCCAUCAGAACUCCGAAGUUAAGCGUGCUUGGGUGAGAGUAGUACUAGGAUGGGUGACCCCGUGGGAAGUCCUCGUGUUGCACCCCUUU
rnacentral:rRNA from 1 species